CAUGCAGGAGGGGGAGUAUGUAGAGGAACACAGGGGUCUGUACAAGGACGUGAUGAUGGAGAAUCACCGGCCCCUCACAUCACUGGAUGGACCCAGUAACAGAGAUACCCCAGAGAGAUGUCCCCGUCCUCUGUAUUCCCAGGAUUGUACAGAGGAGAAUCACAGGACCCCACAGGAGGAUCAGGCAGGAUUCGGAAGGAUUUCUGGUGGAAUCCAUGAAAGACCUGGGUUGCAUGGCUGCAGGAAUUUCUUCCAUGUCUGUCUCCGCUCGUUGAGGACUGUGGCUGCGUUAGUGGUCUGCUGACGUGGAAUCCAGGAGAAGUGUGGAUUCCCAACCCUAUACAGGUCAGGCUCUCUUUGGGGAAGCAGUAGAUACAUGGAUCUCCACAGCUACAGUGGGUAAGUCACCUUUUCUUCCCUCAGCUUCAACUGAUCUGAAGAAACCCUUUUCUUUAACUGCAAUACAGCCCUUUCGGGCUGCCAAGCUCAGAAAGGCCAGGCUGUACAACACCUUCUUUUGGGGAGGUCGGCCCAAGUCCAAGAUACCUGCUGCUGUAGGCUCCCAGGAACAGAAACCGGCU